rnacentral:antisense_RNA from 1 species
CUUCACCGAGCCCAGCCACAGCGGUGUUUCCCGGUCCUGGCCGUAGGUGGCGAGGAUCGCCUGAGCCUC